rnacentral:other from 1 species
ACAAAGACAGGCCACGUAAAGUGGUUUAACGAGUCCAAGGGCUUCGGCUUUAUCGCCCAGGACGGUGGCAGUGACGUUUUCGUUCACUAUAGUGCAAUCAACGCAAGCGGAUUCCGCACCCUGACCGAAGGUCAACAGGUGCAGUUUACCGUGACUCAGGGCCCGAAAGGUCCCCAGGCGGAAAACGUAACCCCGGUCUGAGGUUACGCGACCCCGCCCUAUGCCCCUCACGGGCACAGGGAAUCCGAAAGAGCCGGCGUUCGCCGGCUUUUUCUUU